CAUCCCGUGUAAGGGGAAGGAAAGCCUCGCCUACAGUGUUGCUGGCACACGAGUAGCCAAGGACAAAGAAUGGAUGAAACUGCCUCUUUGAGGAGCACCUUGAACUUACUGUGGAUUAAAAUGAGUAUGUAACUGUGGCCCUAAUGAUUCCACAUAACC
rnacentral:lncRNA from 1 species